AAUGUAUGCAAUGUCUUUAUUUCAUCCUCAUUCUUAAAGGAUAUUUUCAUCAGCAACACCACACCCUCCUGAUCACCAUAGCUUUAUGGUAAGACACCCCUACUCUGUCCAGACCCAACUGUCAACAGAAGCCAAAGCCAUCUGGAGGAGCAUGCAACAACAAGAAACAAAUUUAUUAGCUAACCUAACCACUAAUGACGCAAGAGACAAUUCUAAGGACUUUCAAAACAGCAAAGUAGGAGCAGCUGCUACCUCUAGGGAUGAGGGAUGCAAUUGUCCAAUUAUUGGUGAAAUUGUCAUUUCAUGCUAUUGGCUAUUUGAAAUUCCUCCUCUAAUUUCAGAAUAAAUCACUGAAAUUGACAUCGGCCAGUCUGAAUUUCAAGAAAUUACCUGCUGGAGACAAGAGGGAUCUCUUCUUCAGAUUGGCAGUCUGGGGAAGACAGCCUCUAUAGUACUUUAGAACCUGAGAUACCGUGGUGGAGGGAGCCCUGGGUCAGUAGGAGUGGGGUCGAGUGGUCAGAGCUCCGGACUCCAGCCCCAUGCAACUUCAAAAUAUGACAAAUGUCUUGAAGGGGAGAUUGGCAUGCAGAUGAGGAAGGCCCUCUCGUCAACACAUUUGUAUUUCCUCUGUACUGUGAGACUGUGGGAGAUUUACUGCGACAUUUAGAAGCUUUCUUCCAAACUCCUGGGCCUCCGACACUGGUUCUAAACUCAGCAAAUGUUCUUUGGGAAAAACAGACAGUGCAUGUGAGGCCCCUCGAGUUUGGAAUUUACGUCUCCAGCUUCACAUGGUCUCUCAAGUGCUUAUGCUUUUCUUCUCUCUGCCACCCACAUCCCCACAUCCCACCCACCCCCCAACUUUCCUCCCUUCACCUUCCCAUGGAGACUUUUUGCCUGGGCUAAAUCUGAUCCUCAGCCCACUCUCAGAAUCGAUAAAUGCCCCUAGGUGAUUGUAAGCUCACCUAAGAUAUACUUUUUCUCCUCUAGAAUUUUAGUUUAUUAGAUUUUUCUAGUUGUCUUUGCAAAAGCAUUAACAGGCUCUGACUUCUGACAUUCAACUAGAUGUGGAAUAUCCAACCCCUAGCAUUUCGUGGAAUGUACUGACCAAGAUAAAAUGUGUUCUUAUUAAAUAAUGCCAUUUCUUGACCACUUCUGUUUUUAGGAAUUGUAGUAUCUGAGUCAUGGUGAUUAGAAGUACUAAUGAAAUAAAUGGGAAAAUUAAACUUCUACCAACAUUUCAUAUAGUAGGGAGAUGUCUGUGAAGAAUUAUAACUGGUACAGAUUUUGUGUUUAUAAACAAGGAGACAGAAAAUGCAGAAAAUAAAAAAUGUUUUAUUUAGUUUUAAA
rnacentral:lncRNA from 1 species